AUGUAAUGUGUGUAUUGUACACGUGGACAGUGUAUGAAGUGACUGAUAAUGAUGCCAUUGUCACUGCCAUGCAAGCAGCAGCAUAUGCACACAGCACAGAACAGAACCGAUUUCAGCAUAUAAUUUGAGCUUUAAUAGUCAACAAUUAUGUUGUCCUGUCGAUGUCACAUCAAUACUCAUGCUGCUAACAUGAUCUUAGAAUUGCUCGUCAGGAUAUUCCUCUUGAUUGCCUUCUUAAUUACUGAGGAGCUUGACCCAUUUCAACGAGUAAUACAGCCAGAAGAGAUGUGGUUAUACAAGAACCCCCACUCUGUGCACAGCACUGUAACAACAAGGAUGCUAUUUGGCUCUGCUAUCCUGGUGCCGCUUUGUGUUAUAACAAUCUUUAGUCUCAUGAGGAAAGAUAGACUCGAUUUUCUACAUGCUGUUUUAGCUUGCUCGCUUGCUGAGCUUUUAGAUGGAGUACUUACAAAUAGCAUCAAGUUAAUUAUUGCAAGACCACGGCCAGACUUCUUUUAUCGCUGUUUUCCUGAUGGCGUGAUGACAACAGAUCUCAAAUGUACAGGAGAUUUAGAUACGAUCAAUGAAGGCAGAAAGAGCUUUCCUAGUGGACAUUCCUCGUUUUCAUUUUGUGCCUUUGGCUUUACUGCCUUUUACCUGGCCGGAAAACUACACACAUUUGAGAGUCGAGGACGAGGCGUAGGCUGGAGGAUACUGGUAACAUUAGCUCCCCUCUAUGUUGCCCUCAUGGUUGCGUUAUCAAGAACAGCUGACUACAGGCAUCACUAUGAAGAUGUUAUAGCUGGGUCUCUACUUGGUCUUGCCGUUGCCUAUGCCAUCUAUCGCCAGUACUUCCCAGCCCUCACCCACGCCACGUGUGACAAAUCUUACGCAAGGCUUUACGCCCUCAGAGACGCAAUGUCGUUGCAAGAGUACAACACAAACAAUGCAAUAAGUACACGUAUACCACUGGACAGUGUUAAAACUGUUUGAUGAAUGGAGCAUGCUGUAGACUACAGCAUUACAGCAGAUAUUGAUGAAUUGAUAUUCAAAAGACAUGUAACGAUCAAAGAUCAUGUAUGUCUGGAAUCAUGUAGUCCCUUUUGUUUACAAGAAAUGGUCCACAUCAAGAAGGGAAUGCAGGCUUACUUCAUUCCAUCGUGUCUGUGUGUUGGGUCUAGGUGGCGGGUUACGUGAACUUUUGUUGAUAAUUGAGCCCUAAUUCUGAAAGGGUCGGGUGCAACGUUUGUGAAAUGAUGUCCACCCUUCAAUAUCGCCAAAGUGUAGUGUCCAGUUUACCCAACACUUUCUCUACAGCAAAUCUACAAAAAGUUGUGUCUUAACCCGACACUUUUUUAGUACAAGAUAAAUAAUCAAAAGAGUUAAUAAAAAAAGCUAGUGAUCCACAUGUACACUUCGUCAUUGUAUUGGCACAUUUUCGCAGAUGUAAUUGGAAAAAAAAGAUUAGCUUCAUCUCAAGGACAAUAUUUGAAAAAAAUGGGAUCAAUGCGAAUGAUCAUCAUUCACAUUCAAUAUACCCGACCUUUCAUGAACAUGGGGGCAUUUUUUUACAAAAGUUUGUAUAACCCAACGUAUUAAACACACCUGACAAUUUGUGAAUAAGGGGAUGUGUAAACAAUCGUUCUUGAAACCGGAUAUGGCAAUUAGAGAGAGAGAAUGCUGAAUCUGCAUAGUACAGAUACAAGUAUUGUACUAUGUACAACGUACUGGGACCAAAAAGAAGGUCCAUCUGUUAAUUGAUUUAAUGUAGUUCUCUCUUUACAAUCAGUGUUUUGGUAUUAGCUUUUCACUUGCCGUGAUGCAAGCCUCUUCAAACCUCUGUGGUAUAUAUACCGUAUUGUCGUACUGCUACAACAAAUUGUGGUUGUGAAGAAAGAAUUACUUUUCAAAGUGCUGGGACCAGUUUAAUAUUCCGCUUAUAUAGCUCUUAACACAAAUGUCUCUAAGCGCUUUACAAAUAUACCCCGGUCAUUGGAUUCAGUGCUUCCUCGUACACACUGUGUGCACAAUCUCCACUCCAUGGGGAGCAU